rnacentral:lncRNA from 1 species
AACUCAGGAGGUGGAGGUUGCAGUGAGCUGAGAUCAUGCCACUGCACUCCAGCCUGGGCGACAGAGUGAGACUAUGUCUCAAAAAAAAAAAAAAAAAAAAAGAAAGAAAGAAAGAAAAAUUUGAAGUAUAAAGAGGAAUCACAAAAAUUCUAAAUGGUAACUCAUGUCAGGAACCUGAAAGCAAAGUCUUCACUUCAGCAUUGGGAAGUAUAUGAAACUGUUUUCGGACCACACAACUCUGUGAGCUCAUCGCCAAGAAUUGGUAUGCAAGGUCUUCAGAAGGGAAGGCUAUUUGUAAACUCCUUUUGACUUAGCUGGUAGGACAGAAAGUUCUUUUUUCAUGGCUAAAUGAUACUUGAGAAAAGAAAAAAUGUGGUGAAGCUGAAUGUAUCUAGUUGAAAUAAAAAUGCCUACCUUUCUCCUGUGUAAGCAAAAUAUACUACUUACAAGAAAAAAAGGAAUUUAUGAAUAGAAAUAGAAUCAGGUCACAGCGCAUUUCCUAAUUCUCCACUGGAUUUUAUUACUCAAGCACUGUAUUUUUACCUUUUAUCAUAGCUGUCAUUCGUCCUUGUACUUUAGAUAGCAGCUUAUCAACCCUUUUAUAUCCGUAGCUUCUUUAGGGUGAUGAUCUUAUCUAUUUUUGACCACACUUCCUGUGCCUGCCCCUUUUCUUACAUCAAUUUCUGUUCCACUUGAGAUUUUGUACUCACAGAUGUGACAUGAAUAUUUAUGAGAUUAAAGUGAAUGGUCCAACAUCAAUUCAGAAAAAUUUUGAUCCCUUCGUACAAAUUAUUUAAAAUAUUCCCUUUCCAAUUGAGGCAGCAAGGCCUCUAGCUUAGUGCUCAUUUUCCCUCUCUAAGCAGAUUCAUACCAUUAGGGUAUUAAGUUCUUCUAAACUAAAUCUCUUAUCUCCUCAUAAUUCAUUAUGUCUGUUUUUGAUUCCCGCUAUCAUUGUGGUCUCUCAACCUUCUCCUGUUAACACAGUCAUUUUGGUGGCUUUUAUAAUACCUCCUCUGUUGAUCUUCAAAUUUUGCCUAAAUAGGCAAUAAUUUAAAUGAGAAAGUGUUCAUGAGUGAGCCAGUGAGCUCAGAAAUUUGGAAACUUUUUGCCAUGGAGGGUGAGGGUGAGCUUAGUGAUAACAAGAAUUUCCCAAUUAUGGCAUCUACUUUUCUAAUCAUCUCUCCUUCCAUGUGAUAGUGUUUUUAUAUAGUUUGUUUUGCCUGCCUCCCUCCCUUCCCAUCUCUCUUCUUUCCUCCCUUUCUUCUCUCCUUUCCUUUUACUCUUCUUUCCUUUAUGGGAAAAACCAUUCUAAAUCCUUCAAGUUGUAUUUAUAUGAUUUUAUUAUUUUUAUAUGAUUUUUGUAUUAAAAUCAUCCCAGAUAUCCCCAAAAUAGAAUGCAAAGUUUACAUUUUAAAUUUACUUUGAAAUUUUAAAGAAAUUUUCUUCUAAGUUGUCUUUGGAUUACAUAUCCAGACAGAUUGGAGGCAUCAAAAUACUUCCCACUCCUUUUUCAAUGUUGUUAGGGAUAUUGCUAUGACAUUUUUGAGAAGUAUUCGAAACAACUCUAUUAAGAUAAGCUCCCUUUCUUUAUUGUCUUCAUCUUAUAUCUCUGGCUGUCAAUGAAAUUCUACCAUUUCCCACUCCAAGCCCAGUUGAUCUCUGGAAGGAGGUGGGGUGUGCCCUUGUAUGAGCUCUUAGGAAUUUAUUUAGCAUUUUUUUCUAGCUCUUCCAUUAGUGAAAUCAAGAUGGUAGCUUGAAAUUUACCAUGGUGGAGGAUAUUUACAGCACAGAAAUUGGCAAAGGCUAGAAAUAAGUUUAAUUUUUUGUUUUUAGAACUCGUUAAGUAUGUACCAGCACACCCUGUAAGGUUGAUUGAUGCUUGAUCUAGGUGUCUUCCGUAUGCUUUGUGUGUUACUCCUGUGGCUUUACCAGCUAUUAUGCAUUAGUCUCUGUGGAUAAGGGAAGUAAUAAACCUUUGUCCCAGGUCUCAUAAAUAGCUUGGUUAUUAAUCAAAUGAUCAUUUGGUCUGGCUUCCUUUGUUCGGUCCUAUGCUUGUAAGUAUGGAUGUGUUAGCUCUAGACAGAACCAUAGAUAAGGGAGCUAAAGCCCAGAGUGAUUAAUGACUUACAAGGUCACAAUUCUAGUUAGAGGCAAAGAUGCUGGGACAAGAAUCCGGGUUUUCUGAGUCCCAGGUAGGUUUUGUUGCUGUUAUACAACUCUCUAAUAAUUUUUAAAAAUCCUAAAUCAUAAAUAUCCCAUUGUAAUAAGCUUCAGAAAGCAUUGUAAGCCACAGAUUUAACUCUAAUACUAUUAAUCUUUGCUUUUUUUCUAAUCUAAAAAAUAGGGUACAUUAAGAAAAGUAGAAAAUGUAAAAAUAUUGGUAAAAAACCAAAACUCCUAACAAAUUAAUAUAUAUAUGUUAAGAAAGACAUACAUUUAAACAAUUUACUAUCAUCUGUCAACUUUUAAAGGAAUGCCUGGAUCUAGCUCUUAUGACUUUCAACCGAAGUGACACAAUUUUUCCAGUAAUUUUAACAGUCUCUCCCAGCUUACUUGUUAAAGAAAUCUGUAACAUCUUUAGCAAGAAACAGAAAGACAGAGGGCAGCAUGGGACCAGAGUGCAGCUGCCCUUCAGAAGAACCUGACUGUACAACUUGCACAUCUGAAGAGGUAGCCAAGAAAAUAGAGAGAAGAAUGGGAAGUGGAUCUACCCACAUCGUCUCCCAUCCCCUCCAGAAAGAAAUGCAGCAUCUCUUUCUCAUUGUUUAAGAAGAAAAGAGGAAUCUCGGAGACAAAGCCAAUGAAGGAUAAAUGAGUGCUCUGCCAGUUCAAAGUCAAUGUGAAGAUUGGACGGGGAAGCGUGCGGAGCUCAGAAGAAUUUUUUUUUUUCCAGAGCAAGAGAAAAUCCAGUGACUGAAAAAGAAUAAGAAGAAAAACACUGACCAAGGCAAUAAUUCCAAGAAGUCAAAAAUUAAGGCUCGAGAAGAAGAAGGCAGACUAAAAAGAGUAGGAAAGAUGCAAGGCAAAAGACAACCAUCUGCAUACCAGGAAGAGGGCCCUCAUCAGACACUGGAUCUGCUGCAUCCUUGAUCUUGGGCUUCCAACCUCUAGAACCAUGUAAAAUACAUUUCUGUUGUUUAAACCA